GAUGAAGAACGUAGCUAAAUGCGAUACUUGGUGUGAAUUGCAGAAUCCCGUGAACCAUCGAGUCUUUGAACGCAAGUUGCGCCCGAAGCCAUUAGGCCGAGGGCACGCCUGCCUGGGCGUCACACGUCGUUGCCCCCCCCAUCUACUCCUUCGGGAUUGCGGGGGGCGGAUGAUGGCCUCCCGUGCGCCUCGCCGCGCGGUUGGCAUAAAUGCCAAGUCCUCGGCGACGCACGCCACGACAAUCGGUGGUUGCGAAACCUCGGUUGCCCGUCGUGUGCGGUCGUCGCGCAUCGAGGGCUCGAAAAAAUUGCCGAGUUCCGGCUCGGCUUUCAACGCGACCCCAGGUCAGGCGGGGUUACCCGCUGAAUUUAAGCAUAUCAAUAAGCGGAGGA
rnacentral:misc_RNA from 1 species